UUAUGCCUGGCUCCCUGUAUGCCACAAGCAAAGACCAAUCUUUUGUUUUAGAUUGGCUGUUGCCGGUGGCGUGCGAGGAGCCAAGCAUAC
rfam:Populus trichocarpa scaffold_1_contig_641, whole genome shotgun sequence.